rnacentral:rRNA from 1 species
AUUGAACGCUGGCGGCAGGCUUAACACAUGCAAGUCGAGCGGGGGAAGGUAGCUUGCUACUGGACCUAGCGGCGGACGGGUGAGUAAUGCUUAGGAAUCUGCCUAUUAGUGGGGGACAACAUCUCGAAAGGGAUGCUAAUACCGCAUACGUCCUACGGGAGAAAGCAGGGGAUCUUCGGACCUUGCGCUAAUAGAUGAGCCUAAGACGGAUUAGCUAGUUGGUGGGGUAAAGGCCUACCAAGGCGACGAUCUGUAGCGGGUCUGAGAGGAUGAUCCGCCACACUGGGACUGAGACACGGCCCAGACUCCUACGGGAGGCAGCAGUGGGGAAUAUUGGACAAUGGGGGGGAACCCUGAUCCAGCCAUGCCGCGUGUGUGAAGAAGGCCUUAUGGUUGUAAAGCACUUUAAGCGAGGAGGAGGCUACUUUAGUUAAUACCUAGAGAUAGUGGACGUUACUCGCAGAAUAAGCACCGGCUAACUCUGUGCCAGCCGCCGCCGUAA